CAUUUAAACACUUUUUCAUCUGAACUGACUCAUGCAGCCCAAGAAAUUUUCAACCAUGAAACUUUCUGCAGUUCUUGUCCUUCUGGCCAUCUUCCCACUCUCUAUUGUUCUAGCAAGUAAAAGGCAACCAGGACGCAACAGAACUUCAGAUACACAGACCUGCAUCUUGCAAGAGGGUAUUUGCAAGGCCAAGUGCAUUGAGAUCAGGGCCCAGCUAGAACUGGAUCUUGGAACCUGCAAAAAUGGGGAACAGAGAUGUUGCCGCCCUGAGAAAUUGCUUUUGGGGGACGAGGAGAUCUCCAGCUGAUGCCAUCUGUGAAGACUGCUUCCUUUUCCUUGGAUUUGGGCCUCAAUUCAGGUAUAAUUACUAACGACGUAUGGAAGUUGAAAUUUUGAAUCAUCUUUAAGAGCUGAGCCUUGUCUACAGUAAUCUUCCCCAUCACCUAAUCAGGAUCCAAGCCUCCAACAAUAUAUUUUUUCACAUCCAGGCUGCAACAUUUGGUUUUCUUGCCAAUAAAUUGUUUUGGUAGCCUUGCUCUUUAGAG